rnacentral:rRNA from 1 species
GAUGAACGUUGGCGGUGUGCCUAAUACAUGCAAGUCGAACGGAGACUGUAGCAAUACUGUCUUAGUGGCGAACGGGUGAGUAACGCGUUGGUGAUCUGCCUCGAAGUGUGGAAUAACCUCCCGAAAGGGAAGCUAAUACCGCAUAGUCUCUCAAGGUUUAGAAAAUUGAGAGUAAAGGAUUUAUUCGCUUCGAGAGGAGCCUGCGUCCCAUCAGCUAGUUGGUAGGGUAACGGCCUACCAAGGCUAUGACGGGUAGGGGACCUGAGAGGGUGGCCCCCCACAAUGGAACUGAAACACGGUCCAUACACCUACGGGUGGCAGCAGUAGGGAAUAUUAGUAAUGGGCGAAAGCCUGAUGUAGCAACGCCGCGUGUGCGAUGAAGGUCUUCGGAUUGUAAAGCACUUUUUGGAGGGAUGAGGAAGGACAGUACCUCCAGAAUAAGCCUCGGCUAACUACGUG